rnacentral:rRNA from 1 species
AUACAGAGGUCUCAAGCGUUGUUCGGAUUCAUUGGGCGUAAAGGGUGCGUAGGCGGCGAAGUAAGUCAGAUGUGAAAUUUCAGGGCUCAACCCUGAAACUGCAUCCGAUACUGCUUUGCUAGAGGAUUGGAGAGGAGAUUGGAAUUCAUGGUGUAGCAGUGAAAUGCGUAGAUAUCAUGAGGAAGACCAGUGGCGAAGGCGGAUCUCUGGACAAAUCCUGACGCUGAGGCACGAAGGCUAGGGUAGCGAACGGGAUUAGAAACCCCAGUAGUCC